rnacentral:miRNA from 1 species
GCGUGAGGGCAGUUGGUU